GGAGGAGAAGCUGCCCUGGACCGGGGGCGAGUACCGGUCGGCUGGGAUAAGGACUCAUCGGGACAGAAAACUUCUUCUGAAAGAGAGCCAAAGACUGAUUUUCAAAGUCCUCACCUGAAGAUUUAGAAGGAAAAGAUUGUCUAUGCCUAAAUGCUACUAAACUGAUGGAACAGCCUUUGUAAUUGUGAUCUCCAAAGUCAGAUGUAUGUAUCCCAGGGACUCUUCAAGACAGUCCACUGAUGAGCAGGAAAAAAAUAUAGAACUUCAUUAGUACAGGGACCCCAGAGCUGGAUGCAGUACUCCAAGUGGGGUCUUGCAGGAGCAGAGACAAGACUCCACCUGGGAAAACCAGAUUAUUCUUAAACCAGGAUCAAGGGAAGUUGGAAAGGAGCAAAUCCCUAUGUAAACAUCAAUAUCGUCAAUUAAUUAGGAAACACAGCAAGAUAAAUAAUAAGACCCCACGAAAG